rnacentral:rRNA from 1 species
CAGUCGCCACGGUAACACGAAGGGGGCUAGCGUUGCUCGGAAUUACUGGGCGUAAAGGGCGCGUAGGCGGACAGUUCAGUCGGGGGUGAAAGCCCGGGGCUCAACCUCGGAAUUGCCUUCGAUACUGGCUGUCUUGAGUAUGAGAGAGGUGUGUGGAACUCCGAGUGUAGAGGUGAAAUUCGUAGAUAUUCGGAAGAACACCAGUGGCGAAGGCGACUCGCUGGACAAGUAUUGACGCUGAGGUGCGAAAGCGUGGGGAGCAAACAGGAUUAGAUACCCGCGUAGUCCCUGUCUCUUAUAA